AACGAACGCUGGCGGCAUGCCUAACACAUGCAAGUCGAACGAAACCUUCCGGUCUAUUGGCGCUCGUGUGCGUACCGCGUGGUAACCUGCCCUUAGGUUCCCAAUCCCUCCCCGUAGGGGGUGCUAAUACCAGUUAAUCUCUUCCCGCCAAGGAUUUCUUGCCUUUGGGUGGGCCCGCGUUGGAUUAGCUAGUUGGUAGUGUACAAGCCUAACAAGGAGACGAUCCAUAGCUGGGCUGAGAGGAGGAUCAGCCACACUGGGACUGAGACACGGACCAGACUGGUACGGGAGGGAGGAGUGGGGAAUAUAGGACAAGGGGCGAAAGUCUGAGACAGCAAUGCGGGGGGAGAGAUGAAGGCGGUAGGGUUGUAAAGAUCUUUGACACGGGAUGAGAAUGACAGUACCGGGAGAAUAAGCACCGGCUAACUACGUG
rnacentral:rRNA from 1 species